GCCCGCCCCUGGACAGCCUCAGCGUGGCCAAGUAGAACUGAUCCUGCAUUUCUGAGAAAAAUGCCACCCAGACUUCCUCCUCUCGUGUCACAUAGCUCGCUGCCAUCCUCUGCUCUGGCAGACAGGAGGCCUGGAGAAGAUGGGGAGUUUGGGGCACUGCCUGUAUCCACACCAGCCACCACCACUCAGCAGUAGCAGUGGAUGUAGAAGAUCACACCAAGGUGGAGAACCCCUCCUGAACCCGAGCUGAUUUCAGCUCCACCAGCAGAGCAGACCACACAGAGGGAGACAAGGCUGCGACCCUUGCCAGCGGAAGCUGCUGGUGGAUGUACUACACAGAGCUGAGAGGCUGAGGAGUGGUGAUGUUGGGGGGGCCUGGGGAGCGGGCUCUUGGAUAGCACUUUGCAGAGGGAUUGGAUGGUCUCCAACAUCUAGAAGGGUUGCAAGUGAGAUGAAAGGAGAGAUUUCUGCCUGAGAGGAAGAAGCAUGGCACACACAGGUCCCUGGAGAAGAGAGAGAAAAUGGAAGGCACCCAAGGACAGAUGCUUCUCAUGAAGAGGUGUUUAGCUCUUCCAGUGGAGAGGGAGGUGUGUGUUGUGAGCAGAAGAAGCACAUCUCAUCUGUGUAAAAGUGCCCAGAGUUAGAACUCUCCUAAAGUGCUUUGGAACACAAAAGAAAAGAGUAUAUACCUUCCAAGUGACAGAAGAGGGACUGGUGGGUGACGCAACUUGCUAAAUCUUUUUCACUGUUCAUGGCUGCCACUGCUGGGGAAUUGACUUAAAGAAAUGGAUGGCUUCUGUGUGUUUUUGUCCAUUUUGACUUGUAGUACAAGUUUUUCUUUUUUUUCAGGGGUACUGUGGACUAACUUGUGUCCUCCUAAAACUCAUGUUAAGCCCUAAUCCCCAAUGUGACUGUAUUUGGAGUAAAAGUAAGUAAUUAAGGUUAAAUAGGGUCCUAGGGGUGGCACCUUGCUCUAAUAAGAUUAGCGUCCUAAUGAGAAGAGAUACCAGGGAGCUCCUACUCCCUUGCCAUCACGUGAGAACACACAGCGAGAAGGCUGCCAUCUGCAAGCUGGGAGAGGGCUCUCUCCAGAAACAGGACCUGCUGGCACCUCGAUCUGGAAUGCCCCGUCUUCAGAACCAUAAGAAAAUAAAUUCCUGUGUUUAAGCAUGGUCUGUGGUAUUUGGGUAUGUCAGUCUGAGCAGACUAAGAAAGGAGAAAAAAAAAAAAGAAAUGUUCUAAAUAUCUGUAAGCUCAGUCUCCCAUAAGCUGUGCUCAGAGAAGAUUGUAAAGUGGAAGACUGUAAAACUUUGGCUUUCUUUAUGGAGGCUGAGGGAUUAUCCUCAACUGCUCCAACUAAGCCCCAGUGUUUGUAUUUGGGAGGUCAAAAUUUAUUAUGAAAAGCCUGGAUACGUUUUUGAAAAUAAAAAAUUGCUGUACGGAAAGUAGCACUGUAAAAGCAGAGAGUGAAUAAAAGAUGAGAGAAGGAACCUACGGGGGGAAAAAUCCUAUAGCUAGUAAAGAGUAGAAUGCUUGGGCCAACGUUAGUACUGAGUAUUGCCUUAAAAAAAAA
rnacentral:lncRNA from 1 species